UUCCAUCAGUCAGGGGCAGAGACACCUUGGUGGUGGUGUUCUUACAUCAGUCAGGGGCAGAGCAGAUGACAGUCCUUUGUUCAUCCUAGCUUGAUGCUUGGCUUGAUAGCCAAAGCUGUCUCAUACCUAGGACUCAUAA